UGGCCCAUGGGGGGUCGAACCCACGACCUUCGCUUUAUUAGCACGACGCUCUAACCAACUGAGCUAAUGGGCC
rnacentral:tRNA from 1 species